rnacentral:rRNA from 1 species
GCUUAAAAUCUAGCCCCACUCACCCCACCCACAGGCCCCCCCCCCCCUUCCUUAUUAACCAAAACAUUUUUAAAUUUUAGUAAAGGAGAUUAAAAAACUUUAUGGAGCAAUAAAAAUAGUACCGCAAGGGAAAGAUGAAAUAAAAAUGAAACAAAAUUAAAGCACAAAAAAGUAGAGAUAUUCCCUUGUACCUUUUGCAUCAUGAUCUAACUAGUCUAAUCAAGCAAAAAGCAUUUUAGUUUGACCUCCCGAAACUAAGUGAGCUACUUCAGGGCAGCUUUAUGAGCAAACCCGUCUCUGUCGCAGAAGAGUGGGAUGACCCUCAAGUAGGGGUGAUAGACCUAACGAACUUAGUGAUAGCUGGUUACUCAGGAAAAGGAUUUUAGUCCAACCUAAAGCCCCCAAAAAAUUUAUAAAAAUCUUAUUUUUAUGGCUUUAGAGCAAUUCAAAUAAGGUACAGCCUAUUUGAAACAGGAUACAACCUCAACCGAUGGGUAAUAAAUUUUUUAAUUACAAUCAAGUGGGCCUAAGAGCAGCCACCUUUACAAUAGCGUCAAAGCUUAUUUAUUUAACACAAUUAAUUCCUUAAAUCACCUUCAACCCUCUAAUACUACUGAGUAAUUCUAUUCACUUUAUAGAACCUAUAAUGUUAAAACUAGUAACAAGAAGAUAACCUUCUCCUAAAUGUAAGUGUAAAUCAGAAAGGACAACCCACUGAUAAUUAACGCCCAUGAGCCCAUAUUAGCAACUCCACAAGAAAACUCUAAUAAACCCAACGUUAACCUAACACAAGAGCAUUCCAAGAAAGAUUUAAAGAAAAAGAAGGAACUCGGCAAAUCAUAACCCCGCCUGUUUACCAAAAACAUCGCCUCUUGAAUAAAAUAAGAGGUCAAGCCUGCCCAGUGACUCCCAGUUCAACGGCCGCGGUACCCUAACCGUGCGAAGGUAGCGUAAUCACUUGUUCUUUAAAUGGGGACUAGUAUGAACGGCAUCACGAGGGUUACACUGUCUCCUUUUUCUAAUCAGUGAAACUAAUCUCCCCGUGAAGAAGCGGGGAUAUAACUAUAAGACGAAAAGACCCUAUGGAGCUUUAAAUUUUAUUACAAAUGCUCCCCCUACAAAAAGUUCUGACCCCCCCCCCCCCAAUAGCACAGCAUUAUGAUAGUAGAUUUUAGGUUGGGGUGACCGCGAAGAACAAAAAAACCUCCGCAUUGAAAUAGGCCUUAGCCUUGAGCCAAGAGCUACAACUCUAAGUACUAAAACAUUAACAUCCAUUGACCCAAUUAUUUGAUCAACGAACCAAGUUACCCUAGGGAUAACAGCGCAAUCCACUUUGAGAGCCCCUAUCGACAAGUGGGUUUACGACCUCGAUGUUGGAUCAGGGUGUCCCAGUGGUGCAGCCGCUACUAAU